GACGAACCGUGCGAACGUUAUUCGGAAUCACUGGGCUUAAAGCGUGUGUAGGCGGAUCGUUAAGUGCCUUGUGAAAUCCCACGGCUUAACUGUGGAACGGCUGGGCAUACUGGCGGUCUUGAGCCAUCUAGGGGUGACUGGAACAAACGGUGGAGCGGUGAAAUGCGUAGAUAUCGUUUGGAACGCCAAUGGUGAAAACAGGUCGCUGGGGAUGAGCUGACGCUGAGACACGAAAGCCAGGGGAGCAAACGGG
rnacentral:rRNA from 1 species